rnacentral:rRNA from 1 species
UACGUAGGGCGCAAGCGUUAUCCGGAAUUAUUGGGCGUAAAGAGCUCGUAGGCGGUUUGUCGCGUCUGCCGUGAAAGUCCGGGGCUCAACUCCGGAUCUGCGGUGGGUACGGGCAGACUAGAGUGAUGUAGGGGAGACUGGAAUUCCUGGUGUAGCGGUGAAAUGCGCAGAUAUCAGGAGGAACACCGAUGGCGAAGGCAGGUCUCUGGGCCGUAACUGACGCUGAGGAGCGAAAGCAUGGGGAGCGAACAGG